rnacentral:sRNA from 1 species
CCCGCACGCUGCUUCGUGUGCGCUGUCGUUAGGGCGCCGUGGCCUCGCGUCCGGCGUGGGACUCUGGCGAGGAGACGGAGUGAGUGAGGAAUUCGUACAAGGGACUCUCAACCGCAGAGAGCCGUAGGAAGAAAUGAGGUGGAACCCGCAGACUUUUUAGAGCCUUCUCGCGGCCGAGGAGGGACUCUGGCUUAUUUCCUAACUCACCGUUCACUCGUGCUUUAUAGUUGAACAAUAGUUAAAUAUUUAAAGAUUCAGACAAAGCAGCAGCCGGGCUGGGAUGUGUCCAAUGAACCUUGUUACCAAGGGGGAAAUGCUGCCACUCUGUGGGAAAGAGAUUUUGUUGUUUGUUUUUAAUUUAAGAGCCUAACUUAUUUCACAAAGGAAUGGUCGAUACUUGCCCAAAGUAAACUGUCAAUAAUUAAACUGUCAGGGCAUAGAGAUCCCACAGAAGUACUUGUUCUUCCAAUACAUAAAUAAAGGACUUCAAAAGUCAACAAACAGAAAGGGGUGCGUUAAAUGGGUCUUCUAAUCUACAGGAACUGAAAGAUUAGCUCUGGUUUGGUUGGUGCUCACAUUUUGUGAUUGCUUGCCUGAACUACUUGCUCUGUUUGACCGCCUCUGGCGAAUGUUGCAAGACCUCCUCACUGUUGUGUGCCAAAUAAAGCAGGUUUUUAUUCCUGAGAGACUGUGAGUGUUCUCUUUGAGGGGCAAGCCGAGACAUGUAUGAGUAGUUAAAGUAUAACAACAGUAACCAUUAUUUACCGAGAAGCAGACUUUGGCAGAUAAUCUAAGGAUCUAAAAUACUGCUCCUCGGGUAUAUUGCUAAUGGUUGCAUAUUGUAUUAGCAGCAGUGGUCUUCUUAUUCUUGGGUGAAAACCUGAAGGGUUGCUUAGACCUGUUGCAGAACAAACAGCACAUAACCAGCUUGUAUCAGGGACAUGGUCACUUCAGUAGAUGGUUUCUCACAAGUUCUGCCUCCCACUGUGUUGCUGUUUUAUCUCUAAAGGCCCCAGGGUCCCCACAAGUCUUGGGAAUAAAAGGAAGCACAGUAAGGAACUGAAAAGUACUCACACAAAGGAAAGAAAGAAGCAAGCUUCUUUGGCUAUAGUGUACUGGAGACCUUGGGAUCUUUACGUUCUUGUUUUAGGGAUCAAUCUCCUGGUACAUUAGGCAGACUUGUGCAAACCCAAGAACAGCAUAGAGGUUGCUAUAGAGGACAGCCUUACUGUGGCCCUUCAUUACCUUAACCAAAGAUGGUAAGUAAGAUUGGCUCCCACACCGUGAACUGUUCAAUGGUGAGCAGCUCUUGAGUCUCCAUACUGAUACCCCUUCAGAACUCAUUCACUCUGAGAGCCUUUUCCUCUUAGACUAGAAAGCUUCCUAGUUGACCUCUAGUCAUUUGGGCUCCUUCACAUCAGUAAAUUAGUCUAUAUCUGACCAGUCCUCUAGCUCCUUAUCCUUUCUGAGAGGAAGGGGAGUAGUUGUGGUUUUGUUUGUUUGAGUCUUGCUAUGUAGUGGAGGCUAUACUUGGACCCUGGGUCAUUCUGGUCCAGCCUCUUAAGUAAUGGAAUGAUGGACAUUCACCACCGCUAUUGUCUCUUAACUCGGACUUUAGUGUCUCCCAAAUGUCCUUCAGACAUCGUUUUUAAAUAACAAUAAGUUCUGCCUUGUUCGUAAGUAAAUUUUAGCCAGGUGUAACCCCCUAGACUUGAAAGGUGAAGACAAGCAGGUUAAGAAUUCAAUAUCUUGAUAGGCAUGCAGUGAGUUUGAACCAUUCCAGGCUACUUGAGACCCUGCCUCAGAGAGGAGGUAGGGUGUUGAGGUAGUUCCCAUUGGAGUCCAGACUGGGAAGAGCUGUGUAUUCAAAAUUAAAACAGCUUGCCUGCAUAGGGAACUCUAAAGCGAAGGAAGAUCUACACAGUAUUUGUGAUUACACAAAGCCUUAAAAAAUUGUAAGUUUGCUUUUCUCUUGAGAAGGUGAUGUCUAGCAGACUUGUCAUUCAUUGGUCUCUAAAGUCUUUCUACCUUUGUAAGUACAAAGUUAAGUCUCACUCUAACCGUGUGUCAAUGAAAGGAGCAUGCCCUGAAUAAGAUUGUACUGUAGGGAUGUGAUUUGCUCUGGUUAAAAGGUGCUGAAAGGUCUCUCACCUGUACUUGGCCUUCUGCCCCCCACCCCUAGUUACCCUGUACAUAUAUGACUUCUUCUGGUAGGAUUGGGUUUUAUCCCUGAAGUUUUAUUUUUACAGUUUUGCUUUUCAUCCAAACACAGUGCAAAUGCCUCUCUUCAUCAGCACGUUUGUAACUUUAAGAAUUAAUUGGGCUCGUUAUAUUUUGAAGAGCAUGCUGAAGAAUAGUAAAUUUUAAAGAACCAGCUGAGAACAUUGUGUACCAUGUUCUGAAGUCAGUGCGUCUCAAAUACUGUCGCUAAUCCUGAAGUAAAUCACCCAUCAAAGAUUCAUGUUCUUAGACAGUUAAAGAACAGAAGACUUCAAAAGUAAAGCAGGAUUCUAAACAUACCUUACCAAAAUCCCCACUCGCUCAGAGUCUUGGCAGAAGUGUUUUUGUUUUUCUUUUUCCCUCCACAAAGUAGAGUUAUACUUUUUGAGUCUAUCAUUGCCCACAACUAAAAUCCCCGACUUCAGGAUUUCCUGCUGCCCAGGUGGUGGCAGCAUGUCUCAGAGAGCUAGUGUGCUGGGGAAAGGCUUAACCCCAGCCUGGCUGGCUGGCUGCUUGUUUGAACGUGCAUAACCUGCCUCUGUGCAGAACGCUUUCACUUCUCCAUUUAUCGACCCAUGAGUGAUUCAUCCCACUGUAGCCUCCUCUUCUAGGUACAUUACACUCCAGUAGUUUCUCUUCAGCUUGUUCUGUCUAUAAAGUAUCUAUCAGACUCUCUCUAGAAAACUCAUUAGGACCUAUCAGGCGAGACAGUGUUAUUUCAGUUGUUAUUUUUAACCAGUAUUUGAUAUUAUUGGCAGUACUGACAGUAUCAGUAUUAGCUAAUACUACUAAGAAAUGUCUGCUUAAAAUAAAGGCAUGGUGUCUUAAACUCACAGAUUCAUCAGCGGAGGAGCUUAUGAAAAGCAGAAUUAGGACUCAAACGAACAAGAAACUCCACAGAGAGUAAUGCGAGAUUAUCAUUUAUGGGUCUAAGAAGACAGAGGGUAUAGGACGCUGGCAGUCAAGGCUGAAUUCCAUCCCCAGAUCCCAACUCAUGGAAGAUCAGACACGAAAGUGUAUGUUGGGGGAAGACAAAGACUCGUGCCCCAAUGUAAGACCUUAAGGAUGGAGGGAGAUGCUCCUGUCUGAAGCCAUCAAUUUGCCAGGCUGUUCUCUAAAAUCGGAUGGAUCUUGGGGAAUGACUACGGACCGUUGCUGACUUAACUAAAUAGUACCUGAGUUCUGAGCCUCCAGCCUGGACUCGUGCUUCAGAUAAUGAUACUACCACAAAUACAAAGUCUUCAUCUGUUGAUUUGACGAGUGUCUUUAUCCUGUUCCAGUGGGAAGAGAAACAGUCCACCUUCACCAAAUACAGGCAAGGCUGUUAACUCCUCCACCCUCGAUCAUAAUAAAAAUGAAUUAAUCGGAAUCAUUUGAAUAUCCGUUAUAACAAUGGCCUGAUCCCGUUUAUCGACCAUAUUGUACUGAUUGGAUCUGAUGAACAAAAGACAGCCACUAUGCUGAAUACCUUUGCUCCAGAAGGAGGGGGUAAAUGCUAUAAAGACUAAAAGUUUUCUGACUCUUUAUUUUUUUUUUUAAUGUGUCUGCAUGCUCUUGUGUGUGCAUGCAUGUAGAGGCCAUAGGCAGCCUCAAGUGUCACCCUCAGGAAUGCCAUCUACCUCCUUUGCUUCGCACAGAAGCCGGUUGUCAUCCUCUGAGCUGCUCUAAUGAGAUGCAAGGACCGAAGGAUGGCUGAGGGCCAGGGAGGAGCUCAAUCCUGUCCUUGGGAGUCGGUCUGGUCACGUUCUCUUCUUUCAAGCUGAAGAUGGCACCCGCUCGGCUAAGCCGGUGAAUGUGGACUUACAAGGACUCAGCCAAGUCGUGUCUAGAUUACAGGCCAAAGAUGACGAGGGAAAGAGAGCACCAGGCAAAACAAAUUUUAAUUACAAUAAUGAUGAAUGGUCCAAUAGAGCUGCAAGAUAAUGGAAGGAAGAUGGGGUACCUGAAGCCAGCUCGUUAAAAUCAGAAAAGGUGUCCUCGAGGAAACGUGGGUCCCAGACUUAAGGUAAGUAUAAAACUAAUGAGUGUGAAUAUGGCAGAAUGAACACAGCGAAGGAGUAAGGAGAGCUAAGGGGUCCAGUUGUCAAAUGAGCAGGGAGAUGGCAUGUGAUUACUUGAAGAAGAGGGAGGACCCUCUAGGGAGUAGGGGGCUGCUGACAGAAGACAAAACUGAGGGGUUGAGCGGUCUGAACAGGAGAGGUGAGGACACACCUUCUGGUGGUGGCAGAGGGAGGGGGUCUAGGGGAGAUGGCUUAUUACUCAGGGUGGGGCAAGGAUAGGCAGCAAAAGCAUCAGGGGCUGGUCUCGGAGUCCGGUCUGGCGAUGCUAUAGCAGAAAGGUUAGGGCUGCCUGCUCACAGGAUUCGGGUAAAGCCUGAGACAGAGGGGUGGGGGAGGGGAGACAACUGUUCUGAUCCAAACUUCCUAACUUUAGAGCAUACACAUCAGCAACUGAUGAGUCGCACUUGAGGUGGAAACCAAUAUGCCAGUGCCAUUUGGUGGAAGAACACAUGGGAGAGGAUGCCUUACUGACCUGGGAGGAAUUUUGAGUGUGACUUUAUUUAUCGCUGUGUUUUAGUGAUUUGUAGUCAGUUUUUUAAUAAGACUGGGAAGACCAUUUCCUUUUUUUCCUUUUUUUUUUUGUUUUUUGUUUGUUUGUUUGUUUUGUUUUGUUUUUUUUAGACAAAGCUUAGGUGGCCCAGGCUGACCCUGAACUUCUGAUCUUCUUGCUUUGCCUCUGGAGAGUUGGGGGUUACAGAAGGGCACCGUCGUGCUUUGCUUAGGAGACCUUGAGAAUUAGCUGUGUUGACUUGGAGAGCACACUUUACUUCAGGAUGACCCACAGACUCUAUUCUCAUCCACUGGUUGUGGUAGUUUGUUCAGUUCUUCCAUUUUAGGUACCUUUGCCCCAAGCUCAAGCGUUUUUUAUUUAGACAUCAAUAGAAUAGGAGCUGACAGCACAUCAAAUUUACGUGUAUUUUAUUUCAUUUUUAUAGAUGAAUUCUGUAUUUACAUCCUUCCAUUCUUCCCCCCUCAAUUUUUCCUGUUUCCCUAACUCCUUUUAAAAUUCACAAUCUCUUAAUUAUUAUCAUUAUAUAUGAAUGCAUAUGUAUAUAUCUAUACAUGCUACACAAAUAUAGCAAUAAUAUUAUACACACCCACAACCUGUUGAGUUCCUUUAGUGUUCUCAUAUGUAUGUGAGUUUAGGGCUGACUACUUGGCAUUCUAAUUUUGAGCCUAGACUUUAAUGGCUGAGACAUCUCUCCAGCCCAGGGCUAGCCACUUAGGGUUAGAUAACCCAAUUGGUGGCUGGUCCCUGGAAAAGACUGCUUCUCCCUCUCUUAAUAGCCAUUGGUUACCUGUAGCUCUUCAUUGCAUGGUGGGGUCCUGUGAGUGAUAGCAUUUCAUGAUCCUUGCUAACGAUUUGGUCACUGUUUUCUUUUCAAAGAGCGAUACUGCCCAAGAUGUUUCUGCCCAGAGUGUCAGGGCAAGCGUACAUGCUUUACUGUGGAUCUAUGACACAGAUGCAUGCCCGCUUUCCAGCAAAAGUCUGCUCACCUGCUGGGCAGGGCUCUCCGUUUUUUUUUUUAUUGAGUGGUGAAGACACAUAGCAUUCCCACUACUUAAUCUUGACGCUUUGAACUUUUCAAGCUGUUUUUCCUUCCCCUUUAGUCUGGAUAGCCGCUGUGUCCCCACAAGAGGAGGAACAGUCAUGGAGAAACACAACUGAACUUUACUGUGGCAAAAAGAAAGGGAAAAUAACAAUUAUGAGGUCUGGACAUCGAGCCUGAGGCUGGUGUUAAAAAAAAAAGAAUGCUUAUGUCUGCAUAACUUAACUUGUAUCUCUUCAGUAAAUCAAACCUGCUAUUCCACUUGACUGCAUCCAAGUCACUUAGAUGUCUGCCAACAAGAACAUUAAUGAACUCAGUAUCUCACGCAGGUUUGUUCAUGUAGAGCCCACAAUUGCUUAGCCUCCCUUCCAGCUGCUGCCUGGGCUCCAUCUGAAGGAGGUGGACAGCUGGACCAGGUCAUCACUUAACCCCAGGAUGUGGUAUGUCCUGGUCUUCAAGUCCUCUGUCUGGUUUUAGGAUGGCAUGGCUUUGAAAAGUAGUAGUUCUUGUCCUGAAAAACUUCAUGAAGCUUUGCUGCGUUCUGCCUUUGACGUAAGUGCCUGUCACAUGCUACAUAACUGACUAUGUUGUACUCUUGCUCUCUGGGGUCUCAGUUUACCUCCAUGGAUUUAUAAUUAAUGGGAUUAUUCCAGAACACAUUGUUACUCCUUAGAUUUCUCCAGAUGAUACGAGACGAUUAAGAGAAAUGCUGAAGUUGAUAUGAACCUAAUUUGUCAAAAAUGUAACAGAAUUAUAGAGAGAUCAGUCACUCCCAAACCUUUCUGCAGGUGGAGUCUAACGAAGGGAGGUCUAUAAAGUUCUAAGUCCCAGGCUGCGUGCCAGACCAAUAAAACCACACUUCUGAGGAUGGGCUUCAGGCAACAGUAGUAUGUUCACUCCACAGGUCAUCCCCAUGUGGAGACAUGUUUGGAAACCACAGAUCUGGACAAGGCCGUUGGCAACACGUCUGUGGCUCGUUCUCCCCUGCCCUGCCCUGCGGUUGGUGGCAUGUUUUUGGCUUUUUAGCAUCUUCCUUAUCUCCAUCCACAGAGAACUCCGAAGUUGGAAGCCUAAGCAGGAACACUGGACCAGACAUGACUGAAAGGUAACAACCAUUAAAGGAGCAAAGACCAAAAAGUGUGUCUGAAGCAGAUGGCUGCACUUCCCGCUGGGUCGAUGCUAAUUUUUAAGCAUGUUACUAAUGACAAAGUUUUUUUUUUUUCCUCUUGCAAUUUCAGACACCAAAGACUUUUCAAACAGUUUGUGAACUCUGUUUAAUGAGAUACAAGUCUCUUUUAUGCUGUAAGCUUUAGACUUCCCUUGCUUUGGGACUUGGUUGGGUUAGUGACUGUGAAACAGGAAGUUCUAUGAGCACGGAGUGAGGACUGUCCACUUGUCAUGUUUAAAGAAUCACAAUCUGAUGCAAACAAAAGAGUAGGUAUUGAAAGCCUUACAUUUCUGUGUAUAGACAAUACAUUACUUAUUUAUAGAAAUAACUACUUAGCUGUCCAGAAACUGAGGGGAAGGGGGUUUAAUUAUAGCAACAAUGUUUACUCGUAGGUGAAUUUACAUGUUGGAGCUCAGAGCUCUAACACUGCACAAAUAAUUGCUUGCUGGCUUGUAAAAUUUUAGGACUAGCAGAGGAACUCAGUUAUUUUGCCAGCUCUACCUUGGGAGAGACAGAUUGAAAUAAAAUUGCAACUCGAGUUUUUGGAUGACUCCAAUUAUCUAAAUAGAUGUGGCCUUAAUUUAAAGAAGUUUAUGAACAAGUUCACUAUAUAUAUUUCACUAUUUUUAAGCUUUAGUCAACUUAGAAGCAAUGGAUACUUCGUUCCUGAUCUAUUGCUUACUUAAAAACUUUCCAUGCUAAUAUGUAAAAGACCUUGUGCUUCAUUCGUCUCUGACUGCUAGCACCGACCGAGCAGUAGAAACCAAAGACUCAUAGCUAUAAUCUAAUCAUUCAUAAUAUCUCUUAGGAAAAAAAAUUCCAGAAACAAUUCUGGUUGGGAAAUGCAUUUUUAAUAUGUAUAUAUAUAUGUAUACUGUACAUAAUUGUUCUGUAUAUAACUGUUUGAGGUGUAUUACUACAAUGGAAUGAGUCCCACAGGAUACUAGAAUUUAGCUUACAGUGUUGGAAGGCCGGAGAGUCCUGACUCCGUGACUAGUUCAUCUCAUGUUGAUUGGCAGGCACCAACAGCUGGACCACAUUAGCUGUUACACACGAGCCAGAACAAAAAGGCCAGGCUUACCACCUUAAAACCACCUCGUAGGCCCUCAGUGGAGGGGGCCCGGGAAGAUGACUUGAUGGUUAGAAGCAUUGGCUGCUUUUCCAGAGCACCCACAUGACAGCUAACAACCAUUUAUAGCUCUAGUUCCAGGGGACCUGAAGCCUUCUUCUGGCCUCUGCAAGCAGUGAACACCCCCUUUGCAUGGACAUACACGAAGGCCAAACACAUAAAAUAAAAUAAUAAACCUUCAGGGGCUCUAGAGCACUUCCUUCCCAAGGCAUGCUCUGCGGACUUCUUUCUUGGAGAUAGUCCAAGGCCUCACCUUUGAAAGGGAUGGCUACCUCUAAAUAUCACCACUGUGAAGACCCAGGGUACACUAUAUGAACACUCACAGAGACACAAACUCUAUUAAGAGUUUCUAUUAUUAGAAAUAAACUUUUAUCCAAGAUGUGGAAAUUACAAUGGUCACCAUUUUUCGUAUAAGAAUUUUAGCUCUAUCAUUACUGAGGAAAUUAUGAACAGCUGGAGUGUGCUACUAGCGUGUGUAGGACAUAGAGUCCAGGGGCCUGUGUCCACAUUGCAGUUACUCUAAUAUCCAGUGGCAUUUUAUUUGUCUUUUGCUAAAAUGCCUUUUUAAUGUACACAUUUGCAUUUUGUCCCAGAGGGCACUUGGGCCAAUCCACAGGAAAUGUCAUCUCCUGUCUGCCAGUUUUAAAUUUCAUUCCAAGGAAGGGCUGCCAUUAUAGAGUGUUGUUGCUGUUGUCCACUAUGCAGCCCUCCCUUGCUGCUCCGGAACUCACAGAGGUUUGCCUGCUUGGCUUCCCAAAGGAUUAAAGGUGUGUGGCACUUCUUUACCCUCCUCCCCCUUUUCCAGUUAAAAAAAGAGGAAACAGGUGUGUAAGGAGCACUUGCAUAGGCUUUGUUAGAUCGAAGUUUUUAGUCCAUAGACCUCAAAUUCUGAAAAGAGGUUAAGCUUUCAUAGGGAAAUUAUGAACUAAAAACACAGCUGUGCUCCUGUUUUGAUUCCAAAGAAAGAUUCAAUAAAAACAAUUGCAAACUUGUUAUUAGGUAAACUUCAGACUAGAAAAAGUGUAGAUUGAAUGAUGUAGCAUUGUUGAAUACCAUGAUAAAGGCAAUGAUCACACACAUACGCGCGCACGCGCGCGCACACACACACACACACACACACACACACACACACCACUUCUGGUAGAGAAUAUCCUUUUGUUCAGGCGUGCGUGAUGAAAGGCUACUGAGGCUGAACUUUUCACACAGUUUCUGUUAGCCAUAAACAGUAUGCCUUACCUUCUAGUUAAUGUAUAGCAAGCUUGGCGCUCACUCAAAUACAAUUUCCCAGAUCCUAGAUAUGGGCACGAGGCACCAGUCAAAGCUGCCCUCUUUGCCCAUUGACCUUACAACUAAUCUGAAACAGGCAUCUUUACCACAGCGAAUCCUGAGUUUACACACAGCCUUUAAAGUAUGUCCCUUAGUUUUGCUAGCUCUGAAAUGAGAAUAACCAUUCUGGUUCACCUUUUAUGGAUUUUCCAAAACAGUAGUUACAAUGCCCAUCUACAACUGCCAAUAAAUAAGUGAAAUAUUUGGUGGCUACUUAUCACAAUAAACAAAGAAAAUGUGAAUUUGAGUUUUAUAUCAAGGUGUGGACUGAGCUGUUUCAACUUUUCAGAGUGACUGCAUGAGCAGAUAUAAUAUAGCAAAGGAGAAUGAACCAUCUAAUUCAUACAUUAUAUAAUAAGUACAUACAUAUCCAAAUUUUAUUUACUAAAGUCUACCUCCUAACUCCUUGUCAAGGACAAAAUAUGUAAUUUUUUUGGUAUUAUGCUAAUUCAAGAGUUUACUUACGGUCACUGAACUGUCUACAUUCAGCUCGUACCAAAGUAAAUGGAUACAGGACAUUUUUUGCCCGUGCCAUAAGCAACAACUUGACAGGCCCCAUAAAGUUUUUGGUUACACAUAUUGAGUAACUACAUUUUGAAUUACAAGGAUGACAGACCCCAUGGCCAUUAAAAGUUACAACACCCCCACCCCAUUAGAUAUUGCAGUCAUAUCUAGCGUGUUCAUUUCUGCCUCCACAAUGGGUAACUAAGGAAACAAUGACAUCAUUGCCCAGCGGGGUUCAGUAACUUCUCCGCUUAGGCCUCUGGUUUGGGAAGCCUACAAUUUUUGCUAGCUCCCACCUCUGCCACUGGAAGAAACCCAUACAACUUUUCUUAUUUCUGAGAUACUGGUUAGGAAAAUUAUAUUCUAUCAUAAAUACAAAAUCAUAUUUAUAAUAACUUAAAUAAUAUACUGUACUGUUUCAGAAAAAAUGUUCUAAGGUGUACUAUUUCUGAGAAGUCCUGGGCAUUUGCAGUGGGAGAGUUUUUUGAGGUACAGUGACGAAACCAACUGUGUGAGUCCAGGUCCCCAAUAAUAAUCCCACCGAGCUAUGGCUUGUGGACCCUUGGCCUCUUGACAGCAUUCAACAAUAGAGUACUUUACUCUGUUUUGUUUUGUUUUCUUUAAGUGCUGGCCCUCUUUGUGCUUUGAAUUGUCCCUCAAAGGUUCAUGUUUGAAAGACUUGGUCCUCAGCUUGUGCGUUACUUUGAUGGCUGUGAAGUUUUCAGGGGGGUGGAGCCUUGAGGAUUGGGAUUAGGGGACUAGGGGUGGGCCUUUGAAGGUAAUCCCAUCCCUGGUCCCAUCUAGAUGGCCCUAGAACUCUGCUUCCUGUUGUGAUAUGACCUCAUGCUUGCGCUCUAGCACAACAGCCUAAACGUCUAUGGCCACUACAUUCUCCCCACCGUGGUGGACUGAAAUCCUCUGACUCUAUGAGCAAAAAUAAACCAUUCCUCCAGUAAAUUGCUCCUGUGAGGUAUUUGGUCACAGUGGUGAGAAAAAUCACUUGUGCAUUUUCCCCAAAAGUAGAGCCCAUGAUAAAACGUGUGAGUGUGUGUGUGUGUGUGUGUGUGUGUGUGUGUGUGUGUGUGUGUGUGUGUGUUGGCGGGGGUGGGGGUGAGGGGUAAUUUGGGCAAAGAUUCCAAGGAGCUUCACUUAGCAUUUAGAGUGCCAAAGGUGAGUUCAAAGUUAUGUUUUGGAGGCGUCCACAAUUACAGGUGAUUCCUGAAGAGAGUUGCGUGCCUUAGAACUGUCUGUGAGGGGGUCAAAGGGGAGCGAGCAUCUCAUGGGUCUUACCCCUCACAUCUCUGGGACAGAUUUACAAGCAUCACCUGCUCAGUUCCAGCUUCCGCAUGACGGCUGGUGGAUUCCUGAAGACUCCUACUCCAAGGGUACAGAGACUAAGGGCAGAAGUACCUGAGUGAGCAGGUACGCAGCCUCCUCAGUCUCCUUGCAGCAGUGAAUGGAGCUUACACUGAGCCAACAAUAGAAGAAAAACCACUCCACUUCCCUCACAAAGCUCUGGAGUAACUGGAUGGGGGAUUGGUGCUCACCUACUACAAGUCUCCCUCACUGUGAUUGUCAAACUUUUUCUCUCACAGGACUAAGCACCUUCUCUGUC